ACUCCUACGGGAGGCAGCAGUGGGGAAUUUUGGACAAUGGGGGAAAGCCUGAUCCAGCCAUGCCGCGUGAGUGAAGAAGGCCUUCGGGUUGUAAAGCUCUUUCAGCCGGAAAGAAAUCGCAUCUUCUAAUACAGGGUGUGGAUGACGGUACCGUAAGAAGAAGCACCGGUUAACUACGUGCCAGCAGCCGCGGUAAU
rnacentral:rRNA from 1 species